GUGCCAGCCGCCGCGGUAAUACGGGGGGUGCAAGCGUUGUUCGGAUUUAUUGGGCGUAAAGCGCGUGUAGGCGGUUUCUUUAGUCUGAUGUGAAAGCCCCGGGCUCAACCUGGGAAGUGCAUUGGAUACUGGGAGACUUGAGUACGGGAGAGGGUAGUGGAAUUCCGAGUGUAGGAGUGAAAUCCGUAGAUAUUCGGAGGAACACCGGUGGCGAAGGCGGCUACCUGGACCGAUACUGACGCUGAGACGCGAAAGCGUGGGGAGCAAACAGGAUUAGAAACCCGUGUAGUCC
rnacentral:rRNA from 1 species